AGUUUUGGCGCGAAGUUUCCCACCAAAAAUUUUACCCAACUUGCUUUUCCUUCCAGCCGCGUCUUAGAACUCAAACCCUUACCCUGCCGUCCACUAACUAUUCUCUCUCUCCAACUUUCUGAAACUUCACCCAAUUUUAUCUCAUAUCAUAUCUAUCUCCAAAUAUUAGGUCUCAUCUAUUCAUAUCACGGCAAACAAUCACAAAUUGAUGAAAUUAAUGGGGCAGUUGAGAUGGAAUUGGAGGUGAAUUAAGGUGCUGGGAUGUAGUACUACCUGAUGCACUUGGGCUAAUCUUUAAGAAACUAUCUCUGCAAGAUAUUCUGAUUGUUGGCAAAGUUGUUGUUGGACCUUACUUUUGAGGAUUGUAGUCGCUUGUAAUCUCAGGACAAAAUUAAUCAAGUGAUUGAAAUGCUCAUUUGAAGCUAUGAUUUUGAUUGUUGGCAAAGUUAUUGUUAUACGUACACUAUAGGACUUUACUGAAAUUACAGUGUUAUGUGCGGAAUAAGGCUUAUCCCGGAGGCGCGAUGGCAAAAGGGCAAAUCAUUGAAGAAUCUCUUGUAUUGAUUGAGCGCCAUAUGAAUACUGCAAAGUUUAAUCAAUUUGAUUUCAAUCAGAUGUUAAUAAGUUGUCUUUUUCAGGAUCUGUGAAUAUUCUCUACUUGUUCUUUUUCCUUAUGUACAGUUGUAAGAAUGUUCUCAUGCACAUGUGAUUUGCUUAAUUUUCUUAUGGCAGUAUACAGUGAGCACAAAGCUAUGCUUGAAGACACUAGCCACGCAUAUAGAAAACACACCCAAGAAUUUCGUAGAUGGUUUGAACAUAAACAACGCAGGAUAUGUAUUCAAUGGAAAAUGUACAACGUGAACCGCAACAGGAUGAUGAUGACAAUUAUGUUUGGCGUAGGACUGAUGUUCCUGAAGAAACCAUCUAUGUUGUGCCAAAACACGGUCGAGGGAAAGUUGUCGAUCAAGAUUAUGCUUAUAUUUGAAGUCUGACAAUGAGAUGGACUCUGAUUAAUUUUAGUUUGUUUUCUUUCACACUGCCGUGAAACUGUAAAAUAAGCUUAGCUUUGUAAAAGAAAUUGGUAUCUUUUUUUUUAAUAAACAAAAGAAGACUGAUAUCGUUAAA